CCUACGGGAGGCUGCAGUCGAGAAUCUUCGGCAAUGGGCGCAAGCCUGACCGAGCGACGCCGCGUGCGGGAUGAAGGCCUUCGGGUUGUAAACCGCUGUCGAGGGGAAUGAAGUGCAGGUGGGUUCUCCCAUCUGUUUGACAGAUCCCUGGAGGAAGCAUGGGCUAAGUUCGUGCCAGCAGCCGCGGUAAGACGAACCAUGCAAACGUUAUGGGUAUUCACUGGCGUUGAAGCGUUUGUUAGCCGUCUGGGAAAGCCCUCAGCCCAACUGAGGAAUUGCGCUUGAUACUGCAUGACUAGAGAAUGAUAGAGGUGGGUGGAACUGAUGGUGGAGCGGUGAAAUGCGUUGAUAUCAUCAGGAACACCAGUGGCGAAGGCGACCCACUGGGUCAUUUCUGACGCUGAGGUACGAAAGCUAGGGUAGCGAACGGGAUUAGAUACCCUAGUAGUC
rnacentral:rRNA from 1 species